GAUGAACGCUGGCGGCGUGCCUAAUACAUGCAAGUCGAGCGAACGGACGAGAAGCUUGCUUUUCUGAUGUUAGCGGCGGACGGGUGAGUAACACGUGGAUAACCUACCUAUAAGACUGGGAUAACUUCGGGAAACCGGAGCUAAUACCGGAUAAUAUUUUGAACCGCAUGGUUCAAAAGUGAAAGACGGUCUUGCUGUCACUUAUAGAUGGAUCCGCGCUGCAUUAGCUAGUUGGUAAGGUAACGGCUUACCAAGGCAACGAUGCAUAGCCGACCUGAGAGGGUGAUCGGCCACACUGGAGCUGAGACACGGUCCAGACUCCUACGGGAGGCAGCAGUAGGGAAUCUUCCGCAAUGGGCGAAAGCCUGACGGGGCAACGCCGCGUGAGUGAUGAAGGUCUUCGGAUCGUAAAACUCUGUUAUUAGGGAAGAACAUAUGUGUAAGUAACUGUGCACAUCUUGACGGUACCUAAUCAGAAAGCCACGGCUAACUACGUG
rnacentral:rRNA from 1 species